ensembl:lncRNA
AGGAAGGGCCUCUGGUCUAAAACAUCUGUCGAGUCAAACAUGCGGAGCUGCCUGCUGUGGACCCCUUGUGAUAAGGGAGCAGCUGAAAGUAACUAUAUAAUUACAUCCAAUAUGGCACCUAUGCAUUCAAGAAUUUAAAAAAAUGACCUGGGCUUUCUAUGAAGAGAAUUUAAAUUUAUUUUAUUUUAUUUAAAAACUGGUAUAAUUGAAUUGGAAACUAUCUUGAAUAAGUUGAAUGCUGAUUGGUUGUUUUUGCUGAUUUUUGUUUCUGUACUUUGGGACUCGUUAUUGUGCAGUAUAACUCUUUCCUAAUGUUGUGUCGGGCUGUAAAACUGAAACCCCAUCUUGACCAGCUUUUCUUAAAAAUAGCUGCUACCUGCAACAAAGGUUAAAUAUAAAUGAAAAACAACACAUUUGUCGAGUGUGAGAAUUCCAGGGUUUUUUUUUUUUUUUUUUAUAGACCAGUAGAUGGUAGAGGAGAAAAAGGUGAAACUUAGAGUUAAAUCAAAACCGACUGAGUUCAGGGCCCCGCUACACAUUGUCAAGAGAAGUGAAAUUAGACGAGUUACAGCAAGACUUGCCUGUCAAACAACAAGAUGACUGAGAAUUGACAGGAGGGCUGGAGCAGUAAGUGACUACACAGGAAGCAUGACUGCAAAGGUCAAUGUUUCUCCCUUAUAUUUAGGAAAAACACAUUAUGCUUUCUGUCAAUAUGAAAUGUUAAUAAUUUACAUAGCUAAUAAUUUACUGCUCAGCGACUAUAAAUUAUUCUGUACUUUUUUUAUGCUGAAUGAUUUUUGUUUGUGCUCUGAGGCUGAAUGUGUGUUUUGUUAAGAGAUUUAUAAGUAAAGGGAGAAGGGAGGCUAGCUUUUGUUGUUAAUGACUCAAAACAUUGACUGACGGAGUGUAACAGCUACUGCUGCUCACACACAGACUUGUAUAGAUGAUGAAUUGUUAUUCCAGGAGGGAGUGCUGUGGACUUCUGUGGAAGAUUAAACAUCUGGAAUGAAAGGACAUCUUUCUCCUUCUUGUACAAUGCUGUCAUUUAUUUGUCUUUUGUUUUGUUUUUUAACAAAACACCUUAAUUGUAAUGAGUAUGUUUUGCAUGACAAGAAUAAAGAUUAAAUAAAUGUAAGAUCAAAUCAAUAACUGGAUUCCAGGUUUUAUACUUGUGUGAGAUUCAAGGAUGGAGCGAUUUCAUGAAUCUUAAAGCCAAAUAGCUUUUCAGGUGUGAAUGGUGUUAUACCAUCAUGUUUUUUUUUUUGUUUUGUUUUUUUGUUUGUUUGUUUUUGCUUUGUUUGAGUUGGGCGUACUGUAAUUUGAGCAUUUAUAUAAUUUUAAAGAUUUUUUUUUUACCUUAAGUAUCAAGACAGUCAAGAAUGAAUUGGGCUUCAAUUCAUCAUUUAUUCCUUAAGAUAGACCAACUAAAGACUGAGAAGCUACAGAUAUAACAUUGCAGCUGACUGUUCUGCUAAAGUUCAGUUUGUCUCAAACAAAAAUUGAGGCAGAGCAGAAAACAGGCUGUGGCCUAAUCUGACGUACCUCGCCCAUUAACCAGAAACACUGAGUCUUUGACUUGGGUCAUUAGCUCUCAUUCAGUGCAGAAGAUUAUUUCUACCUUCAGGGGCAUCUUGGCUUUUGAAAAAUGCUCAUAAAGCUACAGUAAAAUGUCAGAUUACUAAUUUAUCAGGUUUUCAGUACUCCUGUCUUCUUCAAGUACUAUUUCUCACUGCUACUACAGUCUGUCAGGCUUUUCUCUUAUCAUUUUCUUUUUACCCAAGGCACUUCAAGGUUAUAAAAAAAUUAACAUAAGGUUGUGA